GCGACCGCCCGGCCCGGUCCCGGCGCCCGCAGUUCGCGGCACCCGCGGGUCGGAGCGCGGUGCCUGCGGCCUUUGUCCCUGCGCCUUCCCCGCCCCCAGCCCGCCUGCCCGGGCUCGCCCCUUUGCCCCUGAGACCCGGGUGGGGCCGGGGACCGCGGGCGGGGGGGGGCCUGGGCAGCCGUCGGGCCCGCGGUUAGACCGGACGAACUCGGGAGAGGGCGCGCACCCCGAUUGCCGCGGUGAACCCCGUCCCAUCCCCACCGCAGAACUUCCUAUCCAGGAACUACUUCAGGAACCAGGCAACACUGAACAGGUCUGUGUGAGGCCUGAGAUUCUACAUUUUUAAUAAGUUACAUUCCCACCAGGUGAUUUUUUGAAAUUAUUCCCAGACCACACUCCAAGAAAUGCUGCUCUAAGAGAAUCUGCCCGGAGUCUGGAGGUUCAGAGAGAAGCAGAAGGGAGCAGGUGACUCCCAAGGUUCACUCUCCAUCCGGCUCUGCUGCCUGGGAAGCUGAUGUUUAUGGACCACAUCAACAAGCUCCCUGGACCUCUGGCUUCUGGUGAGAUUUGGCCAGUGGGAGGCACUGUAAGAAAUCAGAGCAAGAGGAGAAUCUCUACUGAGAGUCACAGCUCUGUCAGGUGGCCCCCACCAGCUUUCGGGUCCAGCCCCCCACCCAACCAGGGCUGGGAUGCCUAAUGCCUGAUGCCUCCCCGUGGUGCUAGCUUCAGGGAACCACAGUGCAGUGCACCUUGGGGUUUCCCUUAACCCUACUUACACCUUUGUGGAGUCCCUUUAAUAAACACUCUUCAGAUUCCUCA